rnacentral:misc_RNA from 1 species
AACGCACAUUGCACCCUCUGGUAUUCCGGAGGGUAUGCUUGUUUGAGAACCGUUACAUCUCUCACGAACUGGACCUUGAUUUCGGUCAGGAAAAGCAAGUGGAUUUGGCCAUUCCCUGAAAAUCAUUUUAUUUUGACGAAUGGGGUUGUUGCUGAAAUUCAGUGAUCGGAGCUUGCGUGCUUAAAGGGUUUUCUCUCUAACAGUACCGUACUCUUUGAUAACCGACAUAGAUUAAUUGGGUACUUUGUUACCUUUUCUCAGUGUCCGGAAAAUCGAGUCGCGAAAACUGAAAGAAUUCAUUCCAAACCUUUUCGCUAUGCCUAUAAGGUAACCGCGAGUAUACGGCUCAUACCUAAACAUGCCAGGCGAUCUAUACACCGAUUCUUUUAUUGAUUGUCCCCGUACUUGCUUGCGAGUGGUUGGACAGUUUUUAUACACAAUCGACGCAAUAGGUUGUACACCUGAUAUUUUUGGUCUCAAAUCAAGCAAGACGACCCGCUGAACUUAA